rnacentral:tRNA from 1 species
GGAUUGUAGCUCAGCGGUAGAGCGCUCGCCUAGCACGGCAGGAUCCGGGUUCAAUCCUCAGCACCA